rnacentral:lncRNA from 1 species
UGGCAGCUCUGCGUUUAGUGCAAUUUCUAAUUAUUUGAGGGGCUAAGACAAAAAUAUUUAACUUGUGACUGAAGUCCAAUGAAUCUGGAUGGUCAAGGUGACGGCUAUAAGUUGAAAGAAAGUAUUUUGUGACAACGGGCAAAAUUUGAUUUCAGCCUCGCACUUUUCUCGGUCAAGAGAUCCUUUUCGAAAAGAAAUAUUAAAAAUAGUAUCAUCACGUGCAAAUUCUGACCGCACGUGUGACAGAUUCUAGUCUUUGAAAUUUCAACUUGACCAUUACUAAAGAGUUAUUUUUUAGGUUUACCCACAAAUAAAAUUUCAUUAUUUCAAAUUCGAUAUUUUAAAAAAAUGAAA